CCCAUGUGCUCUUCUGGUUUCCUCAUUGGUGUUCAGGAAGAGGAGGCUGGGCUCUUCCCGGGGAGUGGAGUGCUAUGACAGAUGAGACUUUCAUGCAAGAAAAUAAAUCCUGCACUUUGAUGUACUGCUUUAAACUUAAAGACCUCUUUGGACCCGAAAUUGUAAGGAUUCUAUAAACCUGGAGAGUAAUCCUAAGAAAAAUCAUCAGAAGAAAGGAAUUUGUAGAACUAAAACUGCAAACAUCCAGAAUCUUGAUGGUGUGCCAAG
rnacentral:lncRNA from 1 species